GGCAUGAACCCGCAUCCCCUGCAUUGGCAGGUGGACUCUCAACCACUGCGCCACCAGGGAAGCCCGCCUCACGUACUUUUCACUGCAGCCAAGCUGAAUGUUUUGCUCUUCCUGUCUUGUGUCUUUUCUCAUGUGGUACAUAUACCUAGAUUGCCCUAACAUGCCAGCCGCAAUUCCUUCAUGUCCCUCCACUUCAAAUUGGAAGCCAAUCCCGGUUUCCCCUAGCUGUUAGUACCUUAAUAAUUUAUAUUUACCCUUCUUCUGGCUUUUACUGUUUCUCUUUUGCAUCAGUGUUAUUCAUGUAUUGACUGCCUUCUGGGUGGAUUCCUGGGGGGUGGGAUCACAUGCAUCCCUCUUUGUAUUCUCCAAAGUGCCAGUCAUUGCUCCUUGGCAGAACGUAUGCCUGGUAAAUAUCUGAUGAAAGGAGAUGGUUCUGGAAGCCCACUAUAAGUGUUGGGAAAAGUAGGGUGAGGAGGUAUCCUUUUUAUUCUGAGGAUAUUUGUUUGCUCAUUAGUCUUAAAUAUUGGAAGAAAAAGAAAUGAGAAGUUGUCUCCACUCUGAAUUUUUCUUUUUCUUUGUCCAUGAUUUCUCAUCUUCUAGUGGGAUUAUUUGAUUAAAAAGAAACAAUUUGUAAAUAAGGUACAUUAUAUUUCUAAACCAGAAAAGCCUUAAAUCUAUAAAAGGUAGUAGAAAUAAGAAUUACAUGUACUUUAGAUUUCUGGAAAUUUCCUUCCAGACCUCUAAUUCCAUUCCCAUCUCUUCCUUCCCCCCACAAAAAUCUUCAAUCAAACUCCUUUGUUUUACCAUGAGGUAAAAAUUUUGCUAUACUUUGCAUCUCUAGGUCAGAAUUAAAACUCACUGCCAAAGGUAUUGUUUUAAAAGGCAAGGACCACUUUAAACAUAUAGUUUUUGCGGCCAGUAAUAUGAAUGGUGGAGUGUAAAUACAGAGCAAUCCCAUGGGCUCGAAGCUUGUAAAGUAAGAAUACAUGUUUAUUUUCCAAUAGCAAUCGUUCUUUUGAACAUUUUUUAAAUGUCCUAAGGUGUUGGAGUGGAUACUUAUUUAUUAGGGGAGAGAAGACUAAAUUCUUAGAAGGUAGAGCAAUUCCAUUUUGGAAUUGGCCCAUGAAUUUGAGCCAGCUGAAGAUGUACCUCUAAUAGAUGCGUUCCUUUCUGUACGCAAGUUUCUUAUCCUCAGGCCUGAAGAGGUAGCAAGAGUGCAUGGAGUGUAUGCUUUAGGUGGUUUUCUAACUGACUGGAUGCCUGGGUGCAUACAACCAGAAUGCCAGUCUGAUGGCUCAGGUCAUGUGACCUUCUGAGUGGCGUACUGGAUUCACUCCACUUCAGGGAGUGUCCCUAAAAGAGAAGUUAUAAACGUUUCUGUAUUUGAAAUUAAAUAAAACGUGAAACUGCUGUCUAUGCACAUGGUCAUUUAUCUCUCUCAUGGCCAUUUUUAUGUUCAGCUGUAGAUCGUGAGUUUCCUGAGGUCUAAUUCUUACUUGUUUGUCUUUGUAUUCCUAUGGUGCCUCAGUGGAGCUUUGUGUUUAGUAGGCAUUCAGUAAAUGUUUCUUGACUGAAUAAAUAAGUGAAUUUCAUCCCCUUUUUUAUCUUCAGUUUGCCUCCUGGAAUUUCUGUAGGAGAAACAGUGACCUAAAUCCAUUUUACAAAGCCCUGGCUGACUCAGUGCAUGUGUAGUCCUGCCUUCCCCUAAUACCUUCUUAAGUACCCCUCAUGCUAAGUACUCCCAGUUCAGCUCAUCACUGCAGAACUGUUCACCUCUCCAAUGCAUCACAUUUCUUUUGCCUCCAAUCUCUCUGGGUGCCCGGUUGCAUUUGGUAUCUUUUGUACCAUAGUCAGAAUACUGCUUAAGAGCUGUGUGCAUCGGGCACAGCUAAAGCCAUUUUCCACACCUCUCUUUCAGGGGUCACUAGUGCUACUCCUAAAUAAAUCUCACUCAGGAGAUGGGAUAAAGAGCUCCACGAACCUGUUCUUCCUGUGUUUUCCUGUCUCACAUCUAAGGUCAUCACCACCAGUCCAGCCCCCCAAGCUAGAAUUCUUAGAAUGUCCUCAACUCCUGCCUCAUCCUCUGCAUCGAGUUGUCUUGUCACUUUUCUGCCCAAAAUAUCUCAGGAUUUUAUCCUCUCCUCUGUUCCAUUGCUUCAUGUCAGUUCCUCAUCAUCUGUCCUUUAUUGGACAUGGCCUCCUAACUAGUUCCUGGACUUUCCCCCUCUAGUGAACCUGCCACCAUUUAAGCUGCCAGAGGUAUUCUUUUUAAAUCCCACAUCUGAUCAUAUCCCUUCUGUCUAGAAAUCUCUGAGGGACAAAAUUCAAACUUUUUAGCAAUGGCAUAAAGAACCCUUCACAGUUAUAUCGGAGAACCUUCUUGGUUGUAAUACAACAACCUUUUGCUGUAUUAAUCUUACAGCUUAAAAAAAAUAAUAAGUUUGAAGCUUUACAAAGUGAAAAAUUGGGGGAGAGGCCUUCACAUUCUGGCCCCAGCCCACCUUUCUAGUAUAAUUUCCAGCAAACUUCUCCUACAUGCAAAUGUUCAUACUUGAGCGUGUGCACACACACACUCUAACACAUGUUUCACUCAUGCCUCGUUUUCACUGGUGCUAUAAUAUUCCAUGUUCCUUUAUGCUUCUGAGCCUUCGUUCAUGCAGUUCCCUCUGUCUGAAGUGGUCUUAACCCUGUCUCCUCUGCUCAUGGCACUGUAAGACACAACUGGAUAGUACCUCUUCCAAGGAGCUUUUCCCAGCACCCCCCAGUAAUAUUAGUAUAUUUGGACACUCCCUUGUCUGUAUUCCUCCAGCACUUCGCACAAACUUCUGAGAUAGGACUUACCAUGCUGUACUGUAAUUACGGGUUUGUGUAGGUCAUGCCCAUUAGAUGGGAUAAGGAUCUUAGGAUCCCUAGUGCUUAACACAGAGUGCCUAAUGUAGUCACCCCUCAGAUACUUGUUGGGUGUAUGUAUGUUCUUCUAUUAUUAAUGUCUGGCCAGCACUAUCUCCCAAAUACUGAAUUAAUGAUCUCUUAUGGCACCUGGAUUCAAUUUCUCUGACCCAUCCCCCCACCCCCCCAAAAAAGUUCAUUUUUCUCUCUGUGACCUGCCUCAUGGAUUCCCUGGCUCUCUCAUCAUUUAUACUUUUAAUCCACUUUAUAGGAUAGAUGAACCUUAGAACAUUAGACUGGGAGCCUCAGAGAUUCUCUGGGUCUGAAGGUGCUGAGCAUUUAGAGCCUGAAUAUCUCCACAUCGUCUGAAUUCGCCUUAGUUGAUUUUACAAUUAUUUUUCAGAGACUCCUCGGUCGUGUUUUUUUAGGAGUAGAGGAACACCGAGACUGAACACUGUGCUUGGAGAGGCUGGGCUGGGAGACUAACAAAGGUGGUAUUAUACUGUGCAAAGCCAAUAAAUGUAUUCAGGAGA